AUCCAAAACAGUCUAGUGGCUAGCAUAUCUGGCUUUCACCCAGAAGGCCCGGGUUCGAUUCCCGGUAUGGAAA
rfam:Glossina brevipalpis unplaced genomic scaffold Scaffold291, whole genome shotgun sequence.